UACGGAGGGUGCAAGCGUUAUCCGGAUUCACUGGGUUUAAAGGGUGCGUAGGUGGGUUGGUAAGUCAGUGGUGAAAUCCCCGAGCUUAACUUGGGAACUGCCAUUGAUACUAUCAGUCUUGAAUACCGUGGAGGUCAGCGGAAUAUGUCAUGUAGCGGUGAAAUGCUUAGAUAUGACAUAGAACACCGAUUGCGAAGGCAGCUGGCUACACGAAUAUUGACACUGAGGCACGAAAGCGUGGGGAUCAAACAGG
rnacentral:rRNA from 1 species